rnacentral:rRNA from 1 species
CAGUAGCGUAUAUUAAAGUUGUUGCAGUUAAAAAGCUCGUAGUUGGAUCUCGGGUGAUUCCAGGGGGUUCUGGUCCUAUUGGGGCCUGUCUACUCUCUGGAGUACCUAAAUGGCGGGCUCUCUGACCUGGGUGCCCUUAGCUGGGUUGCCCAUGUCACCCGCUCCAUUUACUUUGAAAAAAUUAGAGUGUUCAAGGCAGGUUUGUCUACCUGAAUAAUGGUGCAUGGAAUAAUAGAAUAGGAUCUCGGUUCUAUUUUGUUGGUUUUCGGAACUAGAGAUAAUGAUUAAGAGGGACAGACGGGGGCGUUCGUAUUGCGGUGUUAGAGGUGAAAUUCUUGGAUCGCCGCAAGACGAACUACUGCGAAAGCAUUUGCCAAGAAUGUUUUCAUUAA